rnacentral:rRNA from 1 species
UACGUAGGGGGCAAGCGUUGUCCGGAAUUAUUGGGCGUAAAGCGCGUGUAGGCGGCCAGGUAGGUCGGUUGUGAAAAUUGGAGGCUCAACCUCCAGACGUCGAUGGAAACCAUCUAGCUAGAGUCCGGAAGAGGAGAGUGGAAUUCCUGGUGUAGCGGUGAAAUGCGCAGAUAUCAGGAAGAACACCCGUGGCGAAGGCGGCUCUCUGGUACGUGACUGACGCUGAGACGCGAAAGCGUGGGGAGCGAACAGG